CUACUGCUAUCGGGGUGGGACUAAGACAUGCGAGUCGUGCGUCUCUAAGCCAUGGUAGAGGCGCGGCGUACGGCUCAGUAACACGUGGUUAACCUACCCUUAGGACGGGGACAACCCCGGGAAACUGGGGCUAAUUUCUGAUAGGUGAGGAGGCCUGGAAUGGUUCUUCGCCGAAAAGGCGUUGAAACCAUGCUUUUCAACGUCGCCUAAGGAUGGGGCCGCGCCCGAUCAGGUUGUUGGUGAGGUAACGGCUCACCAAGCCUAUAACCGGUACGGGCCGUGAGAGCGGGAGCCCGGAGAUGGGCACUGAGACAAGGGCCCAGGCCCUACGGGGCGCAGCAGUCGCGAAAACUCCGCAAUGCGCGAAAGCGUGACGGGGCUACCCCGAGUGCCGUCCGCUGAGGAUGGCUUUUCCCCGGUGUAAUGAGCCGGGGGAAUAAGGAGAGGGCAAGACUGGUGUCAGCCGCCGCGGUAAUACCAGCUCUCCGAGUGGUAGGGACGAUUAUUGGGCUUAAAGCGUCCGUAGCCGGCUUAGCAAGUCUUCUGUUAAAUUCAGCGACUCAAUCGUUGAGCCGCGGGAGAUACUACUAGGCUAGGAGGCGGGAGAGGUCGACGGUAUUCUCGGGGGAGGGGUGAAAUCCUAUAAUCCCGGGAGGACCACCAGUGGCGAAGGCUGUCGGCUAGAACGCGCUCGACGGUGAGGGACGAAAGCUGGGGGAGCGAACCGGAUUAGAUACCCGGGUAGUCCCAGCUGUAAACGAUGCGGGCUAGGUGUUGAGGUGGCUACGAGCCACUUCAGUGCCGCAGGGAAGCCAUUAAGCCCGCCGCCUGGGGAGUACGGCCGCAAGGCUGAAACUUAAAGGAAUUGGCGGGGGAGCACCACA
rnacentral:rRNA from 1 species